rnacentral:lncRNA from 1 species
AAUGAGAAUGAAGGCUGAGACAAGCGGUGCCUGAGCCCGUGCCUGUCUUCAGAUCUUCACAGCACAGUUCCUGGGAAGGUGGAGCCACCAGCCUCUCCCUGAAUAACUGGGAGAUGAAACAGGAAGCUCUAUGACACACUUGAUCGAAUAUGACAGACACUGAAAAUCACGACUCAUCCCCCUCCAGCACCUCUACCUGUUGCCCGCCGAUCACAGCCGGAAUGCAGCUGAAAGAUUCCCUGGGGCCUGGUUCCAACUGCCCACUGUGGACUCUGAGGCCUCUGCAUUUGCGGGUGGUCUGCCUGUGAUAUUUUGGUCAUGGGCUGGUCUGGUCGGUUUCCCAUUUGUCUGGCCAGUCUCUGUGUGUCUUAAUCCCUUGUCCUUCAUUAAAAGCAAAACUAAAGAAAACA